rnacentral:piRNA from 1 species
UUAGUCCUGCUCAUUCUCUGUUGUACCCAGG